UGCAGUCGAGCGGCAGCGGGAGGAAGCUUGCUUCCUCGCCGGCGAGCGGCGGACGGGUGAGUAAUGUCUGGGGAUCUGCCCGAUGGAGGGGGAUAACCACUGGAAACGGUGGCUAAUACCGCAUAACGUCGCAAGACCAAAGUGGGGGACCUUCGGGCCUCACACCAUCGGAUGAACCCAGAUGGGAUUAGCUAGUAGGUGGGGUAAUGGCUCACCUAGGCGACGAUCCCUAGCUGGUCUGAGAGGAUGACCAGCCACACUGGAACUGAGACACGGUCCAGACUCCUACGGGAGGCAGCAGUGGGGAAUAUUGCACAAUGGGCGCAAGCCUGAUGCAGCCAUGCCGCGUGUGUGAAGAAGGCCUUCGGGUUGUAAAGCANUUUCAGCGAGGAGGAAGGUGGUGANCUUAAUACGUUCAUCAAUUGACGUUACUCGCAGAAGAAGCACCGGCUAACUCCGUGCCAGCAGCCGCGGUAAUACGGAGGGUGCAAGCGUUAAUCGNAAUUACUGGGCGUAAAGCGCACGCAGGCGGUUUGUUAAGUCAGAUGUGAAAUCCCCGAGCUUAACUUGGGAACUGCAUUUGAAACUGGCAAGCUAGAGUCUCGUAGAGGGGGGUAGAAUUCCAGGUGUAGCGGUGAAAUGCGUAGAGAUCUGGAGGAAUACC
rnacentral:rRNA from 1 species